rnacentral:rRNA from 1 species
UCGCACCUACCGAUUGGAUGGUCCGGUGAAGCCUCGGGAUUGUGGUUUGGCUGCUUUAUUGUGGCCGUACCGCGAGAACUUGUCUAAACCUUAUCAUCUAGAGGAAGGUG